GCCAACCUGCUGAGGUCCUCUUACGCGCCAUGGAAGCUUUGUUCUUUUGCUUUUUGCCAUAAAUCUUACUACUGCUUAGUUUUUGUGUCUACGGUGUUUUUAAAAGCUGUAACACUCGCCGAGAAGGUCUGCAACUUUCACUCCUGAGCCCAGCGAGACCACAAGGCCGUCGGGAGGAAUGAACAACUCCAGAUGCGCUGCCGUAAGAACUGUUAACACUCACCGUGAAGGUCUGUAGCUUCACUUCUGAGCCAGCGUAGACCAUGAACCCACCAGAAGGAAGAAACUCCCAACACAUCUGAACAUCAGACAGGACAGACUCCAGACACGCCUCUUUAAGAGCUGUAACACUCACAGCGAGGGUUUGCAGCUUCGUUCUUGAAGUCAGUGAGACCAGGAACCCACCAGUUCUGGACACGUGCCCACCGUGGCCUCAAAGUGCUGGGAUUACAGGCAUGAGCCACUGCACCCUGUCGCUUUUUUUUAAAUGUCACUCCCUGAUCCUAAGUAGUGUAAGACCUCAGAUGAACGAAUGUAACUGCCAUUGACUAAAGAACUCUAGUUGGACAGGCGUUUUAGCUGUUGUCCUUAAAAGAUGGCCUUUGGUUGACAUUCGUUCCAAAAGCAUGAUGAAACACUGAAAACUUGUGUGGUUCCUUUGUCCCAGGAAAGGGAAGAUGGCAAGGGCUUAUAUCUCGUUUGGCAAGGAGUUCACAGUUUCCCUGCAAGCCCCAGAAGGUGGGUGGUAACAAUGGGAUGUGUUUGGCUCCUCAUCCUCCUGCUGACAGCCAGGUCUCAGAGAGGCAAGUCCCACACUUCCCAAGCUCUGGAUCCGAGCUUCGCUGCCGCAGAAGGAAAGUCUAACUAGUUAGGAAGCACAGAACUUGCCUGGCCUUCACCAGCAUAAUCAGAUCUGUCAUUCUCUUCAGGAACUGGCUCUGCUCUAGGCCUUGUUCUUUGCUCUGGAGAGAAUUCCUCCUGCCUGACUGCUUUUGAGCUGAGACAACAGUUUUUUUCCUGCCUUUGGACUGGAACCGAAACAUCUGUUCUUCCUGGGUAUCCAGCCUGCUGGCCUUGGCACUGGAACAACACCAUCGAUCCUCCUUGGUCUUCAGCUUGGCUGACUGCACAUCUUAGGAUCUGUCAACCUCCAUAAUCACGUGAGCCAAUUCUUUGUAGUAAAUGUAUAUAUUAUAUAUAUAUGAUUUAUUAUAUACAUAUCAUUUAUUUAUAUAGAUCAAUAUAUAUCAUUUCUUAUCCCUAUGUCUUUUUUUUUUUUUUUUUGAGGCAGGUUCUUGCUCUGUCACCAAGGCUUGAGUACAAUGGUGUGGUCAUGGCCUCACUGCAGCCUCAACCUCCUGGGCUCAAGCAAUGCUCCCACCUCAGUCUCCUGAGUAGCUGGGACCACAGGUGUGCGCCAGCACACCUGGACAAUUUCUUUUUUUUGAGCUAGGGUCUCACUUUGCCACCCAGGC
rnacentral:lncRNA from 1 species